AGAGCAUCUUAGCAGGUCGUGGCCUUUGUGCAGUAGGCCAGGAUUUGGUAGCUGGUGCUAAAAUCAACCCUCUCUUGCGACGCUCCCUCUAGCAACUGCUGGGCUUUCUGGGACUUUUUUCGGAGAGGUACAAGC
rnacentral:snoRNA from 1 species